AUGUCUUCCAAAUAUUCUUCACUACUUGUUUCCAGAAAGCAUUCCCCACCAACGUCUGUAAAACUCACACCAACAGAGAGGACCAAACUGGGUACCUCGGCUAACUCAAGUCAAUUAAGAGUUGCACCCACAGUGAGGAAGGUGCAAGGCCCACAAUUGGAGACUUAAGAGAAGUGAAGUUGAGUACUGGUUGUGGAGACAGCUCCAAUUCUUCAGCAUCCGGGAGCACCCUGGAACUGCCACCACACAGGAAGUCGCAAGUUCGAGCAGUCACAAGCCCAGCUUGUUACAUGUUGGAUUUAGAAACACAUGAUCAGAGGGCCAAGGAUUUAGCUCAGUGGUUCUACCACUUGCUUUGCAAGUGCAGGGUCCCAAAUAAGGAGAAGGAGAGUUGAAGAGAGGAGAGGGGAAUGGGAAAAAAAAGACACAGCAAGAUAUAACAUGUACAGGUACAAAUUCCCUAUGAUGAAUGGUAUCAUGUUUACCUAAAAUGUACCAAUAAAAAAAAAAUUUUUUUUUUUGGUGCCAGGGAUUGAACUCGGGUCCUUGCGCUUGCAGGGCAGGCAAACCAAUAAAAUUUUUUAAAAGAGAAACACAUGAUCAAAGUCAGAAGACAAACUUGCCUAAACUAUGAGCUGUAAAAAGUACCACAGAAGAGCAGCCCAUGGAUUAAGGUCUCUGGUUAUUAAAACAGUUUAAUAACCAAAUUAACAUCUCUUAAAGUCACUGAGUAGUAUUUUUGCCUGAAAGCUGGUAUGUGAAAAAUACUCAAGUAACACUUUUAAUUUUUUUGUUUGUUUUCACUAGUUUGCACCACCACUGUUGGUAGAAUUUUCAGCUAUGUUUGGAAGAUUCUAACUAGUAUUACAAACUAAAAGGUAAUGUUUAGCACGCUGCCCAAUGGGGUCUUUCAUGUUUUGGGAAACUGAUGGCUCUUGCCUCACAUUCUAUUGCUAGUGAAAAAAACUAGAAAGACUGUGACUUGUUCACGGUCAACAGCUAGUUAGUGUGAGAUUCAGAUGCUACUCCCUUUUCUUUUCUUUUUUUUUUGGUACUGGGGAUUGAACUCAGGACCUUGCGCUUGCAAGGCAAGCGCCGUGCCACUGACCCAAAUCACUGGCCCUCCACUCCCUUUUUAUUUCCUCUUGGGUAGAAUAUAAAUUUGCUACCAGCCAUCUCAAGGAUUUCUUCUUAUAAUUUUCCUUAAUACCUAGAUCUAGUGCUGAACAUUAUGAUAACUUCCAAUAUUAAACCUACUUGUUAUAAAUAAGAACUGGUAAAAUCUGUGCUACAUGAUGAUGAAUGAAGAACAAAAUGACUAUUUGCCCUAUGUUAACUAACAUGUUUUAAGUACAAAUGUUAACAAACUUUAAUCUGGGGGGGGGGCACUGAGCUAAAUCCUCAGCCCUUCUUUUAAGAUAGGGUUUUGCUAAAUCGGUGAAUUUCCAAGGCUGGAGUCAAACUUGGAAUUCUCCUGCCUCAGCCUCCCAGGGUG
rnacentral:lncRNA from 1 species